rnacentral:lncRNA from 1 species
AUGGCUCAAAAGAAACUUGACGUCUUGCUGUUCGAAUAAUAGAUGUUUGGAGUGUUGUGAAUAAUAAGGGUAUUGAACAUUUGGAGAUGAUUGUUAUGGAUUCCUUAGUAAAUUGCUUUUCUUUUUUUAAGUAUAGAUUUUUGUAUGAUAGUUAGUAAUUACAACAAAAUGCUUUUUUGUAUAACAUAUAAAAAGAAGAUUAUUUUCAUUUUGUUAGGGUGAUCGGAUUCAGGUCCUUAUUCGUCAUGACCA